GGUCUCGUGGUGUAGUGGUUAUCACAUCUGUCUUACACACAGAAGGUCGGCGGUUCGAUCCCGCCCGGGAUCA
rnacentral:tRNA from 1 species